UCGGGAAUUUUGGGCAAUGGGCGAAAGCCUGACCCAGCAACGCCGCGUGAAGGAUGAAGUCUCUCGGGAUGUAAACUUCGUAAGAAUAGGAAGAAUAAAUGACGGUACUAUUUGUAAGGUCCGGCUAACUACGUGCCAGCAGCCGCGGUAAUACGUAGGGUGCGAGCGUUAAUCGGAAUUACUGGGCGUAAAGCGUGCGCAGGCGGUUCUAUAAGACAGAUGUGAAAUCCCCGGGCUCAACCUGGGAAUGGCAUUUGUGACUGUAGAGCUAGAGUACGGUAGAGGGGGAUGGAAUUCCGCGUGUAGCAGUGAAAUGCGUAGAUAUGCGGAGGAACACCGAUGGCGAAGGCAAUCCCCUGGACCUGUACUGACGCUCAUGCACGAAAGCGUGGGGAGCAAACAGGAUUAGAUACCCUCGUAGUCCCUGAGCGGGCUGGCAAGGCGCAU
rnacentral:rRNA from 1 species